AGGGACGGCCGGGGGAUCGCUCGCCGCGAGGCGGGAGGAACUUCCGGACUCCGUAGAGCACGACGCCCGUCGAAAGCCGGGGAGGCGGGGACCAUAAUCCCCGUCGACGGAAAGUACCACAGAAAGCAACCGCCCUCGCAAGAGGGUAAGGGUGAAAAGGUGGGGCAAGAGCCCACCGCGCGCUCCGCGAGGAGCGCGGCAUAGGCAAACCCCGUCGGGAGCAAGGCAGUUGGGCGGCGCGCGCUGCUCGCGCACGCCCGGGCGCAAGCCCGGGGCAGCCGCCCGGUGGCCGCAUCAGAGAAAUGAUCCUCCAGUCCCGCAAGGGAUGGACAGAAUCCGGGGUAUAGGCCGUCCCUGAAU
rnacentral:RNase_P_RNA from 2 species